rnacentral:rRNA from 1 species
CUGGCGGCAGGCUUAACACAUGCAAGUCGAGCGGGCGUAGCAAUACGUCAGCGGCAGACGGGUGAGUAACGCGUGGGAACGUACCUUUUGGUUCGGAACAACACAGGGAAACUUGUGCUAAUACCGGAUAAGCCCUUACGGGGAAAGAUUUAUCGCCGAAAGAUCGGCCCGCGUCUGAUUAGCUAGUUGGUAGGGUAAUGGCCUACCAAGGCGACGAUCAGUAGCUGGUCUGAGAGGAUGAUCAGCCACAUUGGGACUGAGACACGGCCCAAACUCCUACGGGAGGCAGCAGUGGGGAAUAUUGGACAAUGGGGGCAACCCUGAUCCAGCCAUGCCGCGUGAGUGAUGAAGGCCCUAGGGUUGUAAAGCUCUUUUGUGCGGGAAGAUAAUGACGGUACCGCAAGAAUAAGCCCCGGCUAACUUCGUGCCAGCAGCCGCGGUAAUACGAAGGGGGCUAGCGUUGCUCGGAA